rnacentral:sRNA from 1 species
GUCCUGACAGAAACCAUUGCUUUUGCCAUAUCUUAAGGAGGGAUUUCCUCAAUUUGGGGUCUCAUUGCUUUGGUUGUCUGUAGCAACAGGUGCAGUAAACUGGAUUUCGUAUAAAUCACACGGAGCAUACACAACGUAACUAGAGCCCUCAGUGCAUGCUGAUUUGCUCUUUGGAAGGAACCAACAGACUCCGGACACCCCAAGUCCCCUAGUCUGCUUCUGACUCAGUUUGCAAUUGAUGUGUUUGCACCGAGUCUCUUUAACCUGUUGUAUUUCUCACUUCACCUGCAGUGUCUAAUGAUUCAGAGUCUCAUCUAUGGAAGUGAGCACACUAAGAGCAUAGAGACUAAAAGCCUCCUUUCCCUAUUGCAAAGGGCAAGUUUAUCCAGAUGGAAAAAAGAAGCCACUCCAGGAAAGAAGAAAAGUGUAUGCAGAGACAGAACGGAAUGAAGGAGGGCAACGUCUGGAAGGAAUCAAGGAAUGGUCUCCCUCAUGUUAUCAGGGACUGAAAACUCUACACAAGAUAGCCAACAAUAAAAACAACCUUGUUGCUA